rnacentral:rRNA from 1 species
AGAGUUUGAUUCUGGCUCAGGAUGAACGCUGGCGGCGUGCUUAACACAUGCAAGUCGAACGAGGGUUGCUGGUUGAAAUUUCGGAUGGAAACCGGUAAUUCCUAGUGGCGGACGGGUGAGUAACGCGUGGGGAACCUGCCCCGCUCCGGGGGAUACCAGCUGGAAACGGCUGUUAAUACCGCAUAAGCGCACAGUAUUGCAUGAUACAGUGUGAAAAAACUCCGGUGGAACGGGAUGGCCCCCGCGUCUGAUUAGCCAGUUGGCAGGGUAACGGCCUACCAAAGCGACGAUCAGUAGCCGGCCUGAGAGGGCGACCGGCCACAUUGGGACUGAGACACGGCCCAAACUCCUAUGGGAGGCAGCAGUGGGGAAUAUUGCACAAUGGGGGAAACCCUGAUGCAGCGAACCGCCGCGUGAGUGAGGAAGUAUUUCGGUAUGUAAAGCUCUAUCAGCAGGGAAGAAGAUGACGGUACCUGCACAAGAAGCCCCGGCUAACUACGUGCCAGCCGCUGC